AGUCGUCAAAACUGAUCGUUUGAAGUCAUGCGGAUAAUACUCUGAUCGGAAAACACCCCCGUGUGAUCAAUAAAUCCCUCUGUUUGUUAUAUACAGAGCUGAAAUAUAGUCUGGAGAUCAUCAUUGGCUUCCAUCUUCGUAUAAGUUUUGGCAUGAGCUGCGUCUAGAAUUUUUGACACAUCUAUCCAUUAUCAUAAUGAAGAAUUGCUUCAGAUCCCAAGCUCUAGGUAACCCAACCAUGACUAUGUCCUGCUUCUGAAUCUCUUGCCGUGAGGAGCGAACCCAGCCAAGACAGCAGUGGACAUGCACUGCUAUCCUCCGCUCCACAGGGGGUGCUGCUGGUAGAAGAUAUCAGGAAAGGGUGUGUGCACUGCUCUGGCCAUGGAUGACUUCACUACACGCACCUAUGGCACCAGCGGCAUGGACAACAGGCCUCUGUUCGGGGAGACGUCGGCCAGGGUAA